rnacentral:rRNA from 1 species
UAAUACGAAGGUGGCAAGCGUUGUUCGGAUUCACUGGGCGUACAGGGAGCGUAGGCGGUUGGGUAAGCCCUCCGUGAAAUCUCCGGGCCUAACCCGGAAAGUGCAGAGGGGACUGCUCAGCUAGAGGAUGGGAGAGGAGCGCGGAAUUCCCGGUGUAGCGGUGAAAUGCGUAGAGAUCGGGAGGAAGGCCGGUGGCGAAGGCGGCGCUCUGGAACAUUUCUGACGCUGAGGCUCGAAAGCGUGGGGAGCAAACAGGAUUAGAUACCCUGGUAGUCCACGCCUUAAACUAUGGAUACUAAGUGUCGGCGGUUUACCGCCGGUGCCGCAGCUAACGCAAUAAGUAUCCCGCCUGGGAAGUACGGCCGCAAGGUUGAAACUCAAAUGAAUUGACGG